rnacentral:rRNA from 1 species
AUUGAACGCUGGCGGCAUGCUUUACACAUGCGAGUCGAACGGCAGCGCGGGCUUCGGCCUGGCGGCGAGUGGCGAACGGGUGAGUAAUGCAUCGGAACGUGCCCAGUAGUGGGGGAUAGCCCGGCGAAAGCCGGAUUAAUACCGCAUACGACCUGAGGGUGAAAGCGGGGGACCGAAAGGCCUCGCGCUAUUGGAGCGGCCGAUGUCGGAUUAGCUAGUUGGUGGGGUAAAGGCUUACCAAGGCGACGAUCCGUAGCUGGUCUGAGAGGACGACCAGCCACACUGGGACUGAGACACGGCCCAGACUCCUACGGGAGGCAGCAGUGGGGAAUUUUGGACAAUGGGCGCAACCCUGAUCCAGCCAUGCCGCGUGCGGGAAGAAGGCCUUCGGGUUGUAAACCGCUUUUGUUCGGGAAGAAAUGCUCUGGGCUAAUACCCCGGGGGGAUGACGGUACCGGAAGAAUAAGCACCGGCUAACUACGUG